rnacentral:rRNA from 1 species
CAGUAGCCGCGGUAAUACGAAGGGUGCAAGCGUUAAUCGGAAUUACUGGGCGUAAAGCGUGCGUAGGCGGUGAGUUAAGUCUGCUGUGAAAUCCCCGGGCUCAACCUGGGAAUGGCAGUGGAUACUGGCUCGCUAGAGUGUGUCAGAGGAUGGUGGAAUUCCCGGUGUAGCGGUGAAAUGCGUAGAGAUCGGGAGGAACAUCAGUGGCGAAGGCGGCCAUCUGGGACAACACUGACGCUGAGGCACGAAAGCGUGGGGAGCAAACAGGAUUAGAUACCCGAGUAGUCCCUGUCUCUUAUAA